rnacentral:rRNA from 1 species
GACGAACCGUGCGAACGUUAUUCGGAAUCAUUGGGCUUAAAGCGCGCGUAGGCGGCGGCGUAAGCGGGGGGUGAAAGGCUAUCGGCUCAACCGUGGCAUGGCUUCCCGGACUGCGUUGCUUGAGGGGGACAGGGGCACGCGGAACUUCCAGUGGAGCGGUGAAAUGUGUUGAGAUUGGAAGGAACGCCAGUGGCGAAAGCGGCGUGCUGGAUCUCUCCUGACGCUGAGGCGCGAAAGCUAGGGGAGCAAACAGG